UACGUAGGGUGCGAGCGUUGUCCGGAAUUAUUGGGCGUAAAGGGCUCGUAGGCGGUUUGUCGCGUCGGGAGUGAAAACUCGGGGCUUAACCCCGGGCCUGCAGUGGGUACGGGCAGACUAGAGUGCGGUAGGGGAGACUGGAAUUCCUGGUGUAGCGGUGAAAUGCGCAGAUAUCAGGAGGAACACCGGUGGCGAAGGCGGGUCUCUGGGCCGUAACUGACGCUGGAGGAGCGAAAGCCGUGGGGAGCGAACAGG
rnacentral:rRNA from 1 species